AGAGUUUGNAUCANUGGCNUCAGGGACNGAACGGCUGGCGGCGUGCGUUAACUACAUGCAAAGUAGAANCGCUGAAGAGAGGANGCUUGCUCUUCUUGGAUGAGUUGCGACACGGGUGAGUAACGCGUAGGUAACCUGCCUUGUAGCGGGGGAUAACUAUUGGAAACGAUAGCUAAUACCGCAUAACAAUGGAUGACACAUGUCAUUUAUUUGAAAGGGGCAAUUGCUCCACUACAAGAUGGACCUGCGUNUGUAUUAGCUAGUAGGUGAGGUAACGGCUCACCUAGGCGACGAUACAUAGCCGACCUGAGAGGGUGAUCGGCCACACUGGGACUGAGACACGGCCCAGACUCCUACGGGAGGCAGCAGUAGGGAAUCUUCGGCAAUGGGGGCAACCCUGACCGAGCAACGCCGCGUGAGUGAAGAAGGUUUUCGGAUCGUAAAGCUCUGUUGUAAGUCAAGAACGAGUGUGAGAGUGGAAAGUUCACACUGUGACGGUAGCUUACCAGAAAGGGACGGCUAACUACGUGCCAGCAGCCGCGGUAAUACGUAGGUCCCGAGCGUUGUCCGGAUUUAUUGGGCGUAAAGCGAGCGCAGGCGGUUUGAUAAGUCUGAAGUUAAAGGCUGUGGCUCAACCAUAGUUCGCUUUGGAAACUGUCAAACUUGAUGUGCAGAAGGGGAGAGUGGAAUUCCCAUGUGUAGCGGUG
rnacentral:rRNA from 1 species